rnacentral:rRNA from 1 species
GUGCAUAUCUGUUUGAAUAAAAGGGGAACCUUCCUCUAAGACUAAAUAUGAUAUAUAUGUGAUAGCGAAAAGUACCGUGAGGGAAAUGAUUGAAAUAGCAGUUUUAUAAGCAGCUCAAAAAAAGUUUAAAUAAACGAUAAGAGCGUACCUUUUGCAUAAUGGGUCAGCAAGUUAAUGUUUGAUGCGAGCAAUUUAGAAGUUUAGAAUUAAGAGUUGCUUUAUGUAUUGCGUAGAUAAAACAAUUAUGAUAUAAUGAUGUAGUAUCAAAAAUUAUACCCGAAGCUUAGUGAUCUUACCACAAUCAGGAUUAUAAAAGUCCGAACGGGUUAUCGUUGUAAAGAUAUCCGAAGAAUUGUGGUAAGUUAGUGAAAGACAAUACUGACUAAGAUAGCUGGUUUUCUGCGAAACCUAUAUAAGUAGGUAAUUUAAAUAGAAUAUCAGAAGGUACAGAAUUGUGAUCUCAUGCAACUAGUACUCAUUUUCCUGUUAACUUAGGAAAAAUGAAUAAAGUGCUUUUUGCGGACAUUGGGGGGUCGUGAAGACUCUAUCAGUGAGUAUUUGUUCUCGGAAGGACUAGAUAUGAAUAUUGAAUAAUCAGACAUAGUACGAUAAGGUUGUAUGUCUAAAGGGAAACAGCCCAGAACAAGAGUUAAUAAGGUUCCAAAAUUAUUGUUAAGUGAAAUUAAGGUAGUAUUUAUCCAAAACGGCCAGGGAAUAGGCUUAGAAGCGGCCAUUUUCUGAAGACCUCGUAACAGAGCACUGGUUUUGUUUUAAUGAUAAUAAGGAUAAAAGCACCGAAAAUUUAACGGAUCUAAACAAUAUACCGAGACCUUGUCCAAAUAUAUUAAUGUAUUUAAAUUUUACAUUGUAUAUUAGGGGUAGCGGAACAUUGGGGAAGUUUCUUAUUAUGCCUUUAUAAGGCAUAAAAUAUUUAACAACCCAAGCGAUAAUGCUGACAUGAGUAACGAUAAAGGGGAAUACCCUCGCCUAAAGCUUAUGGAAUUUAAUUAAAGUUACGGCCUCUAAGUUUAUUAUAUAUUUAAUGAAUAAUCUGUUAUUUAUUAAUAAUCCCAAAAGGGGUAAACGAUGAGCAAAUCUAAGAUUUAUAGAAAAUAUCAUUUCUACAUAGUGACAAAUGAUCUGGAAAACUGUAUAUCUCGUUUGCUAAAUAGGAAUAAACUAAAACAGAUGAUAUGUUUAGCAGAUGCUUUACCGUACCUAAAUACUACCACAAGUAAGCAAGUAGAGUAUACGAAGGCGUUCGAGUGAACAAUCAUUAAGGAACUCGGCAAAUUGACUCGCGUAACUUCGGGAGAAGGUGGGCCGUCCCUUUUGAUUAAUAUCAGAUAUGGGAUAGGAGGCACAGAAUGGUGUUGUACGACUGUUUAAUUAAAACAAAGCACGCUGCAAAGAAAUAAAUUCGAAGUAUUGGGUGUGAUCUCUGCCCGAUGGCGGCUGGCUAUCGGAUUUGCUUAGUUGACUGAUAUAAGCUAGGCUUUGAAGGAACCCCCGUUCAAUGGCGGCCUUACCUAUGAGGGUCCUAAGGUAGCGGAAUACCCUGGCCGUUAAAUGCGGUCUUGCAUGAAUGAUGUAACGAUACAACAGCUGUCUCAAUGAUUGGCUCGGUGAAAUUGGAAUAACUGUGCAGAUACAGUUUACCUCUAGUUGGACGAGAAGACCCUAUGCAGCUUUACUGUUGCUAGUUACCGAAUAUGAUAUAAUGAGUUUUAGUGUAUAAGGAAAUUGGUGAGAUAAAAUUGAAACACCUUUACUUCAUUUAUCAUAUUAUAUAAACCUUACCAGGGAAUAGGUCUAAUAAUGGCCAUUUCUUAAAGAAUUCAUGUUAACACAUGAGCACUGGUUGCAAUAUUUUAUAGGAACAAUUGCUAGGUGGCAGUUUAUGCGGGGCACAGAUCCCAUAAAAAGUACCUGCUCAAGUUUAACGGCUUAAUCUUGCUUUACUGUUUGACUUACACGUCUUUCAGUCGCGUAAGCGGGGCAUAUGAUCACAAGAUGCAGAAAGGAAAGGUCUUGGAUUAUUGAAAAAGCUACGCUAGGGAUAACAGGCUAAUUGCGCCAGAGAGUUCAAAUUGAGUGCGGAGUUUGGCACCUCGAUGUCGGCUUAGCUCAUCCACAUGAAUGCAGGAGUCAUGAAGGGUUCGACUGUUCGUCGAUUAAGGAGCUACACGAGCUGGGUUAAAUACGUCGUGAGACAGUAUGGUUUCUAUCUUCUAGAGGAAGUUAGAAUAAAAUAAGGAUAGCCCCUUGUACGAAAGGAGUUGGGUAUAUUAACCUAUGGUUUACCUGUUGUUU